CAACUUUCAGCAACGGAUCUCUUGGCUCUCGCAUCGAUGAAGAACGCAGCGAAAUGCGAUAAGUAAUGUGAAUUGCAGAAUUCAGUGAAUCAUCGAAUCUUUGAACGCACCUUGCGCUCCUUGGUAUUCCGAGGAGCAUGCCUGUUUGAGUGUC
rnacentral:rRNA from 7 species